rnacentral:rRNA from 1 species
AAGAAAGUAAUUAAGAGCAAACGGCGGAUGCCUUGGCUUGCAGAGGCGAUGAAGGACGUGAUAAGCUGCGAUAAGCUACGAGGAGGUGCACAUAACCUUUGAUACGUAGAUUUCCGAAUGGGGCAACCCGGCUGGUUGAAGACCAGUCACCGAAAGGAGCAAACCCGGAGAACUGAAACAUCUAAGUACCCGGAGGAAGAGAAAAUAAUUAAUGAUUCCGAUAGUAGCGGCGAGCGAAAUCGGAAGAGCCCAAACCAAUCUUGUUUCGGCAAGGUUGGGGUUGUAGGACCACGAUGUGAGAUGUUCCACGAAUUAGAAUCAACUGGAAAGUUGAACCAUAGAGGGUGAUAGUCCCGUAUAGGUAAGUGCGAAUUAUUUCUAGUGGUAUCCUGAGUAGGGCGGGACAUGUGAAAUCCUGUCUGAAUCUGUCAGAACCAUCUGAUAAGGCUAAAUACUCCUGCAAGACCGAUAGUGAACUAGUACCGUGAGGGAAAGGUGAAAAGUACCCUGAAUAAGGGAGUGAAAUAGAUCCUGAAACCGUUUGCUUACAAGCGGUCGGAGCAUCUUUAAGGUGUGACGGCGUGCCUUUUGCAUAAUGAUCCUACGAGUUACUCGUCACUGGCAAGGUUAAGGACUUCAGGUCCGCAGCCGAAGCGAAAGCAAGUCUGAAUAGGGCGUAUAGUCAGUGGCGGUAGACGCGAAACCGAGUGAUCUACCCAUGGGCAGGUUGAAGCUCUGGUAACACAGAGUGGAGGACCGAACCGGUUGACGUUGAAAAGUCUUCGGAUGACCUGUGGGUAGGGGUGAAAGGCCAAUCAAACUCGGAAAUAGCUCGUUCUCCCCGAAAUGCUUUUAGGAGCAGCGUUAUGUUAUAGAGUAGUAGAGGUAGAGCUACUGGUUGGAUGCGGGGGCUUCAUCGCCUACCAAAUCCUGUCAAACUCCGAAUGCUACUACUUGUUUCAUAGCAGUGAGGGCAUGGGUGCUAAGGUCCAUGUCCGAGAGGGAAAGAACCCAGACCAUCUGCUAAGGUCCCCAAAUGUAUACUAAGUUGAUCAAACGUGGUCAGACUGCUUAGACAGCUAGGAUGUUGGCUUGGAAGCAGCCAUUCAUUUAAAGAGUGCGUAACAGCUCACUAGUCGAGCGGUCCGGCGUGGAUAAUAAUCGGGCAUAAGUAUACUACCGAAGCAAUGGACAUGAAAAUGUGGUAGGGGAGCAUUCUAGUUGCGCCGAAGGUGAAUCGUGAGGUUUGCUGGAGCGGCUAGAAAAGAAAAUGUAGGAAUGAGUAACGAUAAAGCGGGUGAGAAACCCGCUCGCCGAAAAUCUAAGGUUUCCUCAGCUAUGCUAAUCAGCUGAGGGUUAGUCGCGACCUAAGGCGAACCCGAACGGGGUAGUCGAUGGACAACAGGUUAAUAUUCCUGUACUUGUUUAUACUGCGAUGGGGUGACGAUGUACUGAAAGCACCGCGCACUGACGGAAUAGUGCGUUGAAGACUGUAUCUAUAGGACCUGUAGGCAAAUCCGCAGGACCUGGAGAAGGUCGAUAGUACCGAGAGUCUUCGGACAAUCGGAUAGUGUGCCUAAAAACAUCCAAGAAAAACCUCUAAGCUUCAGGUAUAAACAACGCGUACCGUAAACCGACACAGGUAGAUGGGAUGAGAAUUCUAAGGCGCUCGAGUGAUUCAUGGCUAAGGAACUAGGCAAAAUAGUCCCGUAACUUCGGGAGAAGGGACGCCCCCUUAUGGGGGGCCGCAGUGAAAAGGCCCAGGCGACUGUUUAUCAAAAACACAGGACUCUGCUAAAUCGAAAGAUGAUGUAUAGGGUCUGACACCUGCCCGGUGCUGGAAGGUUAAGAGGAGAUGUUAGCUUCGGCGAAGCAUUGAAUUGAAGCCCCAGUAAACGGCGGCCGUAACUAUAACGGUCCUAAGGUAGCGAAAUUCCUUGUCGGGUAAGUUCCGACCUGCACGAAUGGUGUAACGAUCUGGGCACUGUCUCAGCCAUGAGCUCGGUGAAAUUGUA